GCCGGGUGUGGUGGCUCACGCCUGUAAUCCCAGCACUUUGGGAGGCCGAGGUGGGUGGAUCACUUGAGGUCAGGAGUUCGAGACCGGCCUGACCAACAUGGUGAAACCCUGUCUCUA
rnacentral:SRP_RNA from 2 species